GACGAACGCUGGCGGCGUGCUUAACACAUGCAAGUCGAACGGAAAGGCCCUGCUUUUGUGGGGUGCUCGAGUGGCGAACGGGUGAGUAACACGUGAGUAACCUGCCCUUGACUUUGGGAUAACUUCAGGAAACUGGGGCUAAUACCGGAUAGGAGCUCCUGCUGCAUGGCGGGGGUUGGAAAGUUUCGGCGGUUGGGGAUGGACUCGCGGCUUAUCAGCUUGUUGGUGGGGUAGUGGCUUACCAAGGCUUUGACGGGUAGCCGGCCUGAGAGGGUGACUGGCCACAUUGGGACUGAGAUACGGCCCAGACUCCUACGGGAGGCAGCAGUGGGGAAUAUUGCACAAUGGGCGGAAGCCUGAUGCAGCAACGCCACGUGCGGGAUGACGGCCUUCGGGUUGUAAACCGCUUUCGCCUGUGACGAAGCGUGAGUGACGGUAAUGGGUAAAGAAGCACCGGCUAACUACGUGCCAGCAGCCGCGGUGAUACGUAGGGUGCGAGCGUUGUCCGGAUUUAUUGGGCGUAAAGGGCUCGUAGGUGGUUGAUCGCGUCGGAAGUGUAAUCUUGGGGCUUAACCCUGAGCGUGCUUUCGAUACGGGUUGACUUGAGGAAGGUAGGGGAGAAUGGAAUUCCUGGUGGAGCGGUGGAAUGCGCAGAUAUCAGGAGGAACACCAGUGGCGAAGGCGGUUCUCUGGGCCUUUCCUGACGCUGAGGAGCGAAAGCGUGGGGAGCGAACAGGCUUAGAUACCCUGGUAGUCCACGCUGUAAACGGUGGGUACUAGGUGUGGGGUCCAUUCCACGGGUUCCGUGCCGUAGCUAACGCUUUAAGUACCCCGCCUGGGGAGUACGGCCGCAAGGCUAAAACUCAAAGGAAUUGACGGGGCCCCGCACAAGCGGCGGAGCAUGCGGAUUAAUUCGAUGCAACGCGUAGAACCUUACCUGGGUUUGACAUGGAUCGGGAGUGCUCAGAGAUGGGUGUGCCUCUUUUGGGGUCGGUUCACAGGUGGUGCAUGGCUGUCGUCAGCUCGUGUCGUGAGAUGUUGGGUUAAGUCCCGCAACGAGCGCAACCCUUGUUCACUGUUGCCAGCACGUUAUGGUGGGGACUCAGUGGAGACCGCCGGGGUCAACUCGGAGGAAGGUGGGGAUGACGUCAAGUCAUCAUGCCCCUUAUGUCCAGGGCUUCACGCAUGCUACAAUGGCUGGUACAGAGAGUGGCGAGCCUGUGAGGGUGAGCGAAUCUCGGAAAGCCGGUCUCAGUUCGGAUUGGGGUCUGCAACUCGACCUCAUGAAGUCGGAGUCGCUAGUAAUCGCAGAUCAGCAACGCUGCGGUGAAUACGUUCCCGGG
rnacentral:rRNA from 1 species